AGAGUUUGAUCCUGGCUCAGGAUGAACGCUAGCGGCAGGCUUAAUACAUGCAAGGCGAGGGGGCAGCAAUGUCACCGUCGUACGGGUGCGUAACGCGUAUGCAACCUACCUAUCACUGGGGGAUAGCCCGGGGAAACCCGGAUUAAUACCGCAUAAUACAGGGGGCCCACAUGGGUCUAUUUGUUAAAGAUUUAUCGGUGGUAGAUGGGCAUGCGUUCGAUUAGCUAGUUGGCAGGGUAACGGCUCACCAAGGCGACGAUCGAUAGGGGAGCUGAGAGGUUGAUCCCCCACACGGGCACUGAGAUACGGGCCCGACUCCUACGGGAGGCAGCAGUAGGGAAUAUUGGGCAAUGGAUGCAAGUCUGACCCAGCCAUGCCGCGUGCCGGAUGAAGGUCCUCAGGAUUGUAAACGGCUUUUAUUCGGGAAGAAGAGCAGGGAUGCGUCCUUGUGUGACGGUACCGAAUGAAUAAGCACCGGCUAACUCCGUGCCAGCAGCCGCGGUAAUACGGAGGGUGCGAGCGUUGUCCGGAUUUAUUGGGUUUAAAGGGUGCGUAGGUGGCUAUUUAAGUCAGUGGUGAAAUACAGCCGCUCAACGGUUGAGGUGCCAUUGAUACUGAAUAGCUUGAAAUAAUUGGAGGCUGCCGGAAUGGAUGGUGUAGCGGUGAAAUGCAUGGAUAUCAUCCAGAACACCGAUUGCGAAGGCAGGUGGCUACGAUUUAUUUGACACUGAGGCACGAAAGCAUGGGGAGCAAACAGGAUUAGAUACCCUGGUAGUCC
rnacentral:rRNA from 1 species